UACGUAGGGUGCAAGCGUUAAUCGGAAUUACUGGGCGUAAAGCGUGCGCAGGCGGUUGUGCAAGACAGAUGUGAAAUCCCCGGGCUUAACCUGGGAACUGCAUUUGUGACUGCACGGCUAGAGUGUGUCAGAGGGGGGUAGAAUUCCACGUGUAGCAGUGAAAUGCGUAGAGAUGUGGGAGGAAUACCGAUGGCGAAGGCAGCCCCCUGGGAUAACACUGACGCUCAU
rnacentral:rRNA from 1 species